rnacentral:rRNA from 1 species
UACGGAGGGUGCAAGCGUUAUCUGGAUUCACUGGGUUUAAAGGGUGCGUAGGCGGGCAGGUAAGUCCGUGGUGAAAUCUCUGAGCUUAACUCAGAAACUGCCAUGGAUACUAUUUGUCUUGAAUAUUGUGGAGGUAAGCGGAAUAUGUCAUGUAGCGGUGAAAUGCUUAGAUAUGUCAUAGAACACCAAUUGCGAAGGCAGCUUACUACACAGUUAUUGACGCUGAGGCACGAAAGCGUGGGGAUCAAACAGG